rnacentral:misc_RNA from 1 species
AACCUAGCACACCUGCGGUGUGUACCUGCGGAAGGAUCAUUACAGAGUUGCAAAACUCCCUAAACCAUUGUGAACCUACCUUCUACCGUUGCUUCGGCGGGCGGGCCUAGCGCCCCCCCGGCCCCCCGCGGGCGCCCGCCGGAGGAUAACCAAACUCUUGACAUCAGUGGCCUCUCUGAGUAUUCUUUACUGAAUAAGUCAAAACUUUUAACAACGGAUCU